rnacentral:rRNA from 1 species
UACGAAGGGGGCUAGCGUUGCUCAGAAUUACUGGGCGUAAAGGGCGCGUAGGCGGACAUUUAAGUCAGGGGUGAAAUCCCAGAGCUCAACUCUGGAACUGCCUUUGAUACUGGGUGUCUUGAGUGUGAGAGAGGUAUGUGGAACUCCGAGUGUAGAGGUGAAAUUCGUAGAUAUUCGGAAGAACACCAGUGGCGAAGGCGACAUACUGGCUCAUUACUGACGCUGAGGCGCGAAAGCGUGGGGAGCAAACAGG